rnacentral:lncRNA from 1 species
UUUUCUCUCACCCACGCGGCCAUCUCCCCACUUAUCUCCUUCUCCAACCUCCUAAUCCAUCUAAUGGGAUCCCUCCCUGGCCAGUGAUGUGCAUCGCCUUCACACAGGGGCGGCAAUCGAUUCGUUUGGUGGCGGACUUGAGGGAGACUCGAUGGGCGGCGAGCGAUUUGAUGCGGCGGAGGUUGGGGGACAGAGACCGGCCGGCGGGUGCCUCAGGGCUUCUUCUUCCUCGUCCACCCCCUCCAGAUGUGGCGGCGCACAUGAGGCGGCGGCGGCGGCUCUAAUCCCGCGGUUCAUUCUGGUGGCCGUGAUUUGGUGCGGGCGUGCCGUUCCGCUGCCUGGGCCGGCGAAUCCUGACCUCUCCGCUCUGUUUCUGUCCUGCAGGUAGCCGUGGUCCCACUUCUCGGGCGGGAUUUGCGGCACUGAGGCGGCCGGCGCGACGCGAGCUUGGGGUUGUGCUUGUGCCCGCCGAGGGGCGUGGCUACCGGCCACUCAAUCGGGCACCGGAGGAAGCAUAAGGAGGAGGGGAUGCUGCGGUGCGCCGUGAUCUUAUCCCGGCUGCGUGGUUAGGUUUUGGGCGAGGAUGGAGGGGACGAGGGCGGCGGAGUUGGCCGGCGGCGGGGCCGGGGAUGUGCAGAUUAAGGUCAGAGGAAGCAUCUGCUACGAGGAACAUCUUCGUCUUCAACCUACAGGUGGAAUAUGCAGAGCAAGCACGGGCGUGCAUCCGUGCCGCCUUGGGUAGCCACCCCAGAUUCGUCGUGCCCCUGCACAUUAUGAUCUGAUCGCUCAAGCUGGUACGGAAAAUCCUCGAAUUCUUCUAGUGUCUCAAACUUAUGUAGUAAAUUGAUUUCCUGCUUAAUCGCUGUCAAUUUUUGUUGUUCGACUCUGCAAACUGCAAGUUCCCUGCUCCGUGGUAGGAGUAGAGUAGAUAUUCACAUCAAUAAAAAAAAUCUUUUGAACGUUGGGCGUACAUACAGUUCUCUCGGUUUGAUUGCUUCUCGGUUGGGUUGCGUGUUGUUUACAGAUCCUGAGGAGAGGUGAAAAACUACCAGCAUGUACAAUGCUCGUCAUGUUUGGCGUACAACCUGUUGCGUGGCAAUGACGGCUUUGCAGGGCGGCGGUGUUGGCGCUGGAGACCACCUUUGGCUCGGCUCCUUGUCGCCGUUUUGCCAUCCGCCCUUGCGCACGUCCCUCCUGGCAAAACUCUAGUCGUCGUGCGGGGAUUGGUUGCCAUCGACGUUGUUGCCUUGGAGCUACCAGCGCGUGAUUUGACCUAUGACGUUUCAUGCCUGAGUGCUAUUUAUUGGACUCACUCCACUUGAUCCCAAGUGAUGCGAUCAUACAGGACAAACAAUUUCCUUUGAAGGUCUGUCUAGCCUCCUCCCUUGUCUGUUCGUAGUUGCUGCUUUCUGGCAAGCCGUACAAAUUGGUCUACCACAACCCACAGCCGCCCCCCCCUGCAUUUUGAAACAAAUGGAAUUAAGAUUCGAAGUUAGUAGAAAAUUGAUAACAUUUUGAGAAUCGUCACAUCACACAACCAAGUAAAAUCAUAUAGACAGAUGACACGAAAAUGGCGCAUCCAUGUAUUCAACAAUCACAUAGCAUGUUCUGUUUCACCCAGGAAAUAAAAAAAAUAAAAGAUCACAUAACAUAUUUUACUUAAAUUUAUUUCAUCACCUUAGUGAACUAGAGAAUAGAAGAAUAAUGUAUUUUUUGUUAUGAACAUGAAUAGUACAUCUAGUUCAGCAAAGAAAAGAAAAGAUAGGGAGAAAAUAUAUGAUUGUUUGAAACCAACUAUUUCAGUGAUAAUAUGCAAAUAUGGUAAUUGUUUGCUUAAUGAAAUGUUCACUAUAUAUGUGCAGAAGUAGAACAGAGUUAUAUAGGUGUUACCCUGGUGAUUUGGCUCUGCUUCUCCUGUUUCGAAAGAGGAUUUUCUUCUUUCUGCUAUCUGGCAGUCCUUAUCUGAUAAUGGCUAUCGUUUGCGAUUGAUGAUAUUAUCUCUUAGUUUAAUUCUGCCUAUAGCGAAUAAUUUGAUUUCAUUCACCGUCCAUUAUUUAGCUACUUCAGUGGCCUGUAUACUAGCCUUGCUAUCUCUAGGAGAAACAUAAAUGUCUAACGAUGUUGCCAUUCCUGGGACUGAAAAAUGGUCAUGUUUUUCACGCCCAACAGGUGUUACCUUUUGAUAAAGCAUGCACAUUAUUUACAAUCUCUUUGUCCAUUUCAGGGGAGAGCAUUUCAAAGGAAGCACGGACUGGAGGUGUAAGGUUAGAUGGCAAGCUAUUUUGCUCAUGCAGUUUGAUGAUAAAAUUCAUGAAGUCCACUUGUUUAUUUGUCUCAUGAUUAAUGGUUAUUUUUUUAACUUCCAAAAAUCGGCUAGCAAGUGAUAUACUAUGAUUAAACAUGUCAUAAUCCAUUGAUUUAUGGUCACGGUUACAUUUGAUAAUUUAUAAUCACAUAAAUGAACUUAAAUUGUUUCGGGCCUGGCAUGCUAGCAUUGCUUUACAUUAUAGUACAAUGAAUAUAUGAUGGAAACAACAUCGCAAGAUCACUCAGCACUAUAGGCCAGCACAGAAAACACACAUACACUUCUAGUUUACAUGACGAGUACUUCAUUUGUUUGCAUCAUCCAUGCAUGUUUAGCUUUCAAAAUAAAUUAUUAUGUUGUAACAAAACCUUAAUCUAAGCUGAUCAAAAGUAUGUGUAGAAUAGGGCUGCUUCGUGCAUUCCUAGGUGGUUUUCACCAAGUCAAUAAGCAGGUACAUAUAUGCUAGGUAUCCAAACGGUUGUAUAAUUGUAGUUGGUCUAAUUCUCUAUGAAAUUGUCCUUCUUUGCGUAAAGUGAAAUCUUCCCAGUUUUAUUAAUAGCAAAUGUUCUAUUUCUUGCAAAAGUGGGAUAAAACUGAAGUCUUGUUCUUUUCGAUCAAUUCGAGAAACAAAAACAAACCCUUGGCCAAUGGAAUUUUAGGGAGUAAAGAUAGAACAUAUGUGGUUGAAGGAAACAUGCUUGGAGAACAAUAUGUUGCAGUCUCUGUCCGUGGCUCAAUCUAGGAGAUGAGAACUGGUUAGACCAUAUGAAAAACUCCAAACAGCAGGAGAUGUUGGUUAUGUUAUUGCUUGGCCUUCCUCACAUGUAAGUAUGUUUCCAUACAACCAUCAAGUAUGCUCCAAUAUCCACAUUUAAGAUACUUUAGUUAUCAAAAUCUUUGUGGCUGUUUUUAGGUAAGAAAAAAACUAAGCCAACCACUCCAACGAAGCAUUUGUAUGAUACACUUAUAAUUUAUCAAAGAACAUCUUAUCUUGCACUUCUAAAAACAUUGUUCAUUUGCUUUUCUAGGGCGGUUCAGGAUUUGGAAAGAGAGUGCAUUAAGGGAGCCAGGAGUAAUUGGGUAGUUCAGGAUUUGAAAAGGGAGCCAGGAUUAGUUUGUGAAUGAACAAGUGGUGUUCCUUAUGUUAUAUUUUAGCUUAAUUGAGAAACAUAGUUCUAGACUAUAGGAUAUUUCUUAUUUAUUUGUAUGUUCUGUAUGAAUGUAUGUUAUUAUUCAGUUGUGAACUUUGGUGUAAGUAUCUACUCAGCUUGCCAAUUUUGAUAAUGCGAUGUUUGCAAAUGCAAUCUACGAC